UGUUUUACUGAACUCUGCUGCUCUGAUGACAGAACUGAUAUUUAAAACAGUUAAUGGUGAGCGUCUAGUGGGGGAUCUGAGAAUUGUUGUCUUUCCCUCUGAAAGCCUCUUCACCUUAAUUAUGCUCAUUUUACUCAUGUUUGCACCCUGGAUUUCAAACACAACAAAGUUUCAGCAGUGUUAUCAGAACACAGCAACAUCUGAUGGCACUCAAACUAAUGGAUCAAGCC